AUUGAACGCUGGCGGCAGGCCUAACACAUGCAAGUCGAGCGGGGUUUUCGGACCUAGCGGCGGACGGGUGAGUAAUGCGUAGGAAGCUACCCGAUAGAGGGGGAUACCAGUUGGAAACGACUGUUAAUACCGCAUAAUGUCUACGGACCAAAGUGUGGGACCUUCGGGCCACAUGCUAUCGGAUGCGCCUACGUGGGAUUAGCUAGUUGGUGAGGUAAUGGCUCACCAAAGCGACGAUCCCUAGCUGGUUUGAGAGGAUGAUCAGCCACACUGGAACGGAGACACGGUCCAGACUCCUACGGGAGGCAGCAGUGGGGAAUAUUGGACAAUGGGCGCAAGCCUGAUCCAGCCAUGCCGCGUGUGUGAAGAAGGCCUUCGGGUUGUAAAGCACUUUCAGUAGGGAGGAAGCGUUGUGUGUUAAUAGUACACAGCGUUGACGUUACCUACAGAAGAAGCACCGGCUAACUCUGUGCCAGCCGCCGCCGUAACAC
rnacentral:rRNA from 1 species